CCUAGAGCGCGGUAUUCUCCGGAAUGCGGGCUCACUGAAGACUGCUGCACCCGUGGAGCCCAGAAGGCCCCCAGUCCCCGAGGCAACCAUUGAACCGUCACUGAGCUUUCACUAUUGCCCGGUUACUCGGUGUUCCGGUGCAGCCCAGCAGCCCUUCUCCCUCAUGCACUGGAGGUCUAGAGAGCGUGGGGGUGGCAGGAAAGAGAAAAUAGAAUUGACUUAGCAGAAUCCUGCUCUGUCCAUGGUGCUAGGGAGCUUGCCUGAGCAUUCUUCAAGACUGAAAAGCUCGAGUGUGUCCACAAGAAGAAAAACAGAAUGGUACCAUUUAACCUAUGUGUUUGGAUCUGGGUAGAAUACAUCAUCUUUCAUCAUUUGGAAUCAUGGUGGAUCAUUGCAUUGAUCAAAGUUCUUAAGCUAUUUGUCUUUAUUAAUUAUUGUUGCUUCAUAUAUUGUUUUCCAAGUUAGGUUCACUUCGUUUCAUUAGAUAAUGUAAAUAUUCCUACAUUUCUCAGAAAUCUUCCUUUUGGUCGUUUCUUAUAACACAAUGACAUUCUGUCACUUUUAUAUACCAAAGUUUUUUCAGCGAUUACCCAAUUAUUGUACAUCUCCUUUAUUUCCAGGUUUUUACUAUAACAAAAUGAGUUACUAUAAAUAUU
rnacentral:lncRNA from 1 species